UACGAAGGGGGCUAGCGUUGUUCGGAUUUACUGGGCGUAAAGCGCACGUAGGCGGAUCUUUAAGUCAGAGGUGAAAUCCCAAGGCUCAACCUUGGAACUGCCUUUGAUACUGGGAAUCUUGAGUCCGGGAGAGGUGAGUGGAACUGCGAGUGUAGAGGUGAAAUUCGUAGAUAUUCGCAAGAACACCAGUGGCGAAGGCGGCCAACUGGUCCGAAACUGACGCUGAGGCGCGAAAGCGUGGGGAGCAAACAGG
rnacentral:rRNA from 1 species